rnacentral:tRNA from 1 species
GGGCGUGUACCGAAGUGGACAAACGGGUCAGACUGUAAAUCUGAUGGCUCUGCCUUCGUUGGUUCGAAUCCAACCGCGCCCA